GUGUCAGCCGCCGCGGUAAAACGUAGGGGACGAGCGUUAUCCGGAUUUACUGGGCGUAAAGCGCACGUAGGCAGUCUGGCAAGUUGGACGUGAAAGCUCCCGGCUUAACUGGGAGAGGCCGUUCAAAACUGCCGGACUUGAGGUUGGAAGAGGAGAGCGGAAUUCCCGGUGUAGUGGUGGAAUGCGUAGAUAUCGGGAGGAACACCAGUGGCGAAAGCGGCUCUCUGGUCCAGACCUGACGCUGAGGUGCGAAAGCGUGGGGAGCGAACGGGAUUAGAUACCCGGGUAGUCC
rnacentral:rRNA from 1 species